CGGACGGGUGAGUAACGCGUGGGUAACCUGCCUCAUACAGGGGGAUAACGGUUAGAAAUGACUGCUAAUACCGCAUAAGCGCACAGUACCGCAUGGUACGGUGUAAAAAACUCCGGUGGUAUGAGAUGGACCCGCGUCUGAUUAGCUAGUUGGUGGGGUAACGGCCCACCAAGGCGACGAUCAGUAGCCGACCUGAGAGGGUGACCGGCCACAUUGGGACUGAGACACGGCCCAG
rnacentral:rRNA from 1 species